UAAGAGCUUGCUCUUAUGAAGUUAGCGGCGGACGGGUGAGUAACACGUGGGUAACCUGCCCAUAAGACUGGGAUAACUCCGGGAAACCGGGGCUAAUACCGGAUAACAUUUUGAACCGCAUGGUUCGAAAUUGAAAGGCGGCUUCGGCUGUCACUUAUGGAUGGACCCGCGUCGCAUUAGCUAGUUGGUGAGGUAACGGCUCACCAAGGCAACGAUGCGUACCCGACCUGAGAGGGUGAUCGGCCACACUGGGACUGAGACACGGCCCAGACUCCUACGGGAGGCAGCAGUAGGGAAUCUUCCGCAAUGGACGAAAGUCUGACGGAGCAACGCCGCGUGAGUGAUGAAGGCUUUCGGGUCGUAAAACUCUGUUGUUAGGGAAGAACAAGUGCUAGUUGAAUAAGCUGGCACCUUGACGGUACCUAACCAGAAAGCCACGGCUAACUACGUGCCAGCAGCCGCGGUAAUACGUAGGUGGCAAGCGUUAUCCGGAAUUAUUGGGCGUAAAGCGCGCGCAGGUGGUUUCUUAAGUCUGAUGUGAAAGCCCACGGCUCAACCGUGGAGGGUCAUUGGAAACUGGGAGACUUGAGUGCAGAAGAGGAAAGUGGAAUUCCAUGUGUAGCGGUGAAAUGCGUAGAGAUAUGGAGGAACACCAGUGGCGAAGGCGACUUUCUGGUCUGUAACUGACACUGAGGCGCGAAAGCGUGGGGAGCAAACAGGAUUAGAUACC
rnacentral:rRNA from 1 species